UAACUACGUUGUGAUAAACUUCCUCCCAA
rnacentral:sRNA from 1 species